UACGUAUGUGGCACGCGUUGUCCGGAUUUAUUGGGCGUAAAGCGAGCGCAGGCGGUUUUUUAAGUCUGAUGUGAAAGCCUUCGGCUCAACCGAAGAAGUGCAUCGGAAACUGGGAAACUUGAGUGCAGAAGAGGACAGUGGAACUCCAUGUGUAGCGGUGAAAUGCGUAGAUAUAUGGAAGAACACCAGUGGCGAAGGCGGCUGUCUGGUCUGUAACUGACGCUGAGGCUAGAAAGUAUGGGUAGCAAACAGGAGGAGAUAACACUGUAGUCC
rnacentral:rRNA from 1 species